rnacentral:lncRNA from 1 species
UUCUAGAAUGUUUCUAUAGCAAUUUUCAGUUCUGGAAUCCAAAGCUGCCAUGAAAUUCGCUNUCAAGACGGUGGUUCUCGCACCACGGGGCAGCUGCUUCUUUUCUCGCAACUACUCUGUUUUGCAGGUCUAACUUAAGCUCGGACAUUCGUCAAACACCUGGUGGUCGUGCUAAGAUUCAGCAACAAACAUAAGCUCAAACUUUCGUCAAACAACUGGUGGACGUUGCAGAUAUAAGAAUUAUUGAAUAGGAUUGCUAUAUGGCAGUGGAAAUAUAUUGCCAAAACAAACAAAUUUGGUUAAAAAGAGACAAAAAGGCACUCAUAGAGAGUCCGAGUAUCAAAAUGAGAAAUUGCUUCAUUUAUGAGAAGGGUUGUAACCGAACCAAAUCCAUUCAGAUACUGCCAUACUCAAAACUUGAUUUGUUUAAUAUCGAGCCAAAACGUUUAGCUUUAUUUACCUAAUACUUGAUUUGGCUUUGGGUUUGGAAAUUAAACUCGUACAUUAUGUUUGCAAUAAAAAAGUAAAAGAAUCAACUAUCAAAGUAGAAAANACAGCAGAUACUAUGAGAGCUUGAGAUUACCUUCUUGGCCAGAAAAUCUGAAUCGUCCAUCAUUACUUCAAUCAAUUUCUAUACAGAUAACAAAACAG